rnacentral:rRNA from 1 species
GCUCAGAGCGAACGCUGGCGGCAGGCUUAACACAUGCAAGUCGAACGCUCAUCUUCGGAUGGGAGUGGCAGACGGGUGAGUAACACGUGGGAACGUACCCUUCGGUUCGGAACAACUCUGGGAAACUGGAGCUAAUACCGGAUACGCCCUUUUGGGGAAAGGUUUACUGCCGAAGGAUCGGCCCGCGUCUGAUUAGCUAGUUGGUGGGGUAACGGCCUACCAAGGCGACGAUCAGUAGCUGGUCUGAGAGGAUGAUCAGCCACAUUGGGACUGAGACACGGCCCAAACUCCUACGGGAGGCAGCAGUGGGGAAUAUUGGACAAUGGGCGCAAGCCUGAUCCAGCCAUGCCGCGUGAGUGAUGAAGGCCUUAGGGUUGUAAAGCUCUUUUGUCCGGGACGAUAAUGACGGUA